ACGUACACUCCUGCGGGAGGCAGCAGUGGGGAAUAUUGCACAAUGGGCGCAAGCCUGAUGCAGCCAUGCCGCGUGCAUGAAGAAGGCCUUCGGGUUGUAAAGUACUUUCAGCGGGGAGGAAGGCGAUAAGGUUAAUAACCUUGUCGAUUGACGUUACCCGCAGAAGAAGCACCGGCUAACUCCGUGCCAGCAGCCGCGGUAAUACGGAGGGUGCAAGCGUUAAUCGGAAUUACUGGGCGUAAAGCGCACGCAGGCGGUCUGUCAAGUCGGAUGUGAAAUCCCCGGGCUCAACCUGGGAACUGCAUUCGAAACUGGCAGGCUAGAGUCUUGUAGAGGGGGGUAGAAUUCCAGGUGUAGCGGUGAAAUGCGUAGAGAUCUGGAGGAAUACCGGUGGCGAAGGCGGCCCCCUGGACAAAGACUGACGCUCAGGUGCGAAAGCGUGGGGAGCAAACAGGAUUAGAAACCCCUGUAGUCCCAUGA
rnacentral:rRNA from 1 species